rnacentral:rRNA from 1 species
GAUGAACGCUGGCGGCGUGCCUAAUACAUGCCAGUCGAGCGAACAGACGAGAGUGCUUGCACUCUCUGACGUUAGCGGCGGACGGGUGAGUAACACGUGGGUAACCUACCUAUAAGACUGGGAUAACUUCGGGAAACCGGAGCUAAUACCGGAUAAUAUUUAGCUUCGCAUGAAGCAAUAGUGAAAGACGGUUCUGCUGUCACUUAUAGAUGGACCCGCGGUGUAUUAGCUGGUUGGUGAGGUAACGGCUCACCAAGGCAACGAUACAUAGCCGACCUGAGAGGGUGAUCGGCCACACUGGGACUGAGACACGGCCCAGACUCCUACGGGAGGCAGCAGUAGGGAAUCUUCCGCAAUGGACGAAAGUCUGACGGAGCAAUGCCGCGUGAGUGAAGAAGGUUUUCGGAUCGUAAAACUCUGUUGUAAGGGAAGAACAAGUACGUUAGUAACUGAACGUACCUUGACGGUACCUUACCAGAAAGCCACGGCUAACUACGUG